CUCCUUUAAAGGUAAGGGUGGUCCAUCACUAUUCUCAACUUCAUUCGUUUUUGAAAGACUGAUCCAUUUAGCGAACUGAGUAGCUACUACGUGCUAGGUACUGCAUGUACAGGACCUCUCUGCUCUGGGCUCCUCCUCUGGGUGACUGGCAUACAGUGGGACAAGGGCACUGAUGGAGGGAUGCUCAGGGCACAUUCAGGGAUAACUUUGCCCUGGGCAAGCAUUUCCUCAGGCUCCUGAAUGCCAGGCCCUGGCCCCGGGUACGAUGGGGGAAUGCAAGCAGGAGUAAGACCAAGCCCUGCCCUCCAGGAUUGUAGAUCCACAGAAACAAUAUGAUAUGUGUCCAAAUAUGGCUCUGACCAAAGUGCUAUGAAAUCAUAGGAGACGGAAUAAUGACUUUGGCCCUGGGGAAAUCUAGAAGUUUCUCGAAUGCCUAGUACUUGCACCAAGUAGGAGCUUCUUAAAUCUUUGCUGAAUUUAACUGGGUGGGAGAAGGGGCUAUAGCGGAGACUGAAGAAGACAAGGAAAGUUACAAGGAGGGAAGGGCAAUGACAGAGCAUUUUCAUAACACUUGCAGAAAGUGGCCUUGCCGCCCACCCCAGAGGGAUGUCUUGUGGAUGAAUGAGAUCAUGAGUGUGCAGUGUUCUGAACUCUUGGGAAGAAAGGAUCUCUCUCUCUAUGUAUAUAUAUAUCACUGACAUUAUUAGUCUAUUCCUGUCCGACCAGUAAGUCGUUCUUUCCAGGGAGCCUGUAUCCCCCUGGGAAAAUCAGGUGUACCCUAGGACAGCUUGAUUCUCUCUUUGGGUCUCAGUUUCCCCAUGGAACGAGGUGGUCCUGAAUGUCUCUGGCUCCUCCAGGGAGCUGCUCUGUGGGACAGCUGUGCCUGCCCAGGAGAUGCCCUCUGUCUUACCCUGCCCAGCACACCCUGGGCUGAGCACAGGAAUCCGUAUGAUGUCACAAAGGCCGCUCCCAGUCUUGUCUUGCGAGUUAAACAAGGGCAUGCAGAAAAUGAGACAAGUGCGGACUUUUUGCCUUGAAUGUCCCCCUGUCAGUCUUGGGGUAGAGGCUGCGGGCCUGCAUGCUGUGUGGGCCCCCCUGUGUGGGCCCCUCCCCUCCAUCCAGGUCCAGGGUCUGGGUUCCCUUGGGCAGGACCGAGCCUUCUCCAAAGCCUCACGGGCUUCUCCCUUUAUGGCCAGAGUGUUGGGGUACAAAAUGCCCCCCAUGAACAGGGAUGGGGACUGUCGUAGGGGAGACAGAAACAUCUACCAAAAACCUCCUUUACCCCCUUGCCUGUGUGCUUCCUGCUCAUUCACUGUGCUUGGCUACUAUGUGUCUCUACCCCUUCCUAUAAAUCAGACACCCUGGCCGUGUCCCUGCCUCCCCUCUUCUCCUUACUUGGCACACGUAAUUGGUGACCAGGCCUGGCCUCCCCCCUCCCCGGCUAUCUCUCCAGUCCUUCUCAACACCCCUGCCCUCACCCACAUCCUCUUGUGUCUCACCAGCUUCCUCCCUGGGUCCCCUCCUCUGCCUCCUGCUGGCUCCCCUCCCAUCCACUGUCCUGUGCACCAAAGCGCAGGUGCAAGCAGGUGCGACCAUGUCGUCGUCCAGCUCGAAGCCCAAAGCAGUGGGUCCCCCACCGCUCUCGGGGAAAAGUUCCUCUCCUGUCUGGCAGGCAGGGCCAUCUUGACCUCCCCAGAGAGGUGAAGUGAUCUGUGAGGAAGAGCUAGGGAAAGGAUGGUGUUGGAGACACAUUUCAGAGAGAGGGAUGGGCGAGUGCAGAGGUGGGAGAGGUAAUGAUGCCCGGUGUGGGAAAAGUCUGAAACCUGACUGGGGCGGGUGUUCCCGGGGCAUCGGGCACACCUACUGUGUGCCAGGCGCUGCCCUCAUGCUGGGCCUACAGCAGUGACCAAAACAAAGAUCUCGUCGGGGAGCUGGUGUCUAGCAGGGGGAGAGAGGCAAUGGAUCACGCCGGCCGUGUGUUGAGGGAGCAGGUGCAGGGAGACCAGUCAGGAGGCUGUCGCAAUGAUCCACGUGAGAAUCAAUGGCAACUCAGACCAAGAGAGAACCUUUUUAGACAUUUUUCCAACGGUCAUCGCCUCUGUAAUUCUCACACCGGAAUUCAAGUGAUAGCAUGAUGCUAUAAUGCAUAUGCGUUUAUGGGCUUUGGCCCUUUGGAGGGUCACAGACCGUUGCAGCAUCAAAACGUUUUCGUUCCCCGAGAACUAAUGUCACCCCCUCGGGGGCGAUGGCGGCCCCGCAGAGGGUGCGUGGUUCCAGCGAGCGGCCUGCAGGAGAGGAGCUCAGGUUGGAGCUGUCUGCUCUAAGGAGGAGGCGUCGAAGCCACAGCUGGGUGUUCGAGGCCCAGGCUGCAGGUAUGGGUUUGGCCGUCAUGGGCAUACAGCCUCUACUUGAAGCAGUGAGCCCAGAGAUGGCCGGUAGUGAGUACAGACAGAGACGAGGACCAGGCUGGGGGCUGGGAGAAGAGAAGGAGCCAGCAGAGGAGACCACGAAGGAAGGCGCGGAGAGGUUGGAGAGAACCAAGGACGCCGAGCCAGAACUAGUAUGGCACAGAGUGACGACGAACAUUUCCUUUUGGUGAGCACCUGCUAUGUGUCAGGCGGUGUUCUGGGGGCUAGGAGCACAGUGCUCAAUGAGGCCAAGUCUACCCUCGUGGGGCUCGUGGUACUGCAUUCAAUCCUUUUAUCGCCCCACGUGGUCAGUAUUUGCAGGCGGAGAAACUGAGGCUCAGAGAGACUAGGGAGUGAAGUGAGGUCCUAUGGUCAGUGAGUGUCAGAGCAGCGAUCCGAGCCCAGAUCUGUCAGACUCCAUCCACAGCCCCGAUCUCUUCACCCUGUUAAACCAGGAAGAGACUGGACGGGAGUCAGAAGGUGGGCAUUAGCCACUCCCUGGGGUCUGGGCUUUAGGACAGUUUGCCCUUCAUUGGGCCUCAGUUCCCUCAUCCGUAGGUGAUCCGGAAAGUUCAUUCCAGUAUUUCUGCAAUUUUCAAAUGUCAAAAGACCUAGCAGUCUGUCCGCCCAGACGAUCCAGGCAGGGAUUCCUUUUCUCCCCAUCGCCGCACCCUGGUUGGUAGGACAGCAGCCCAGCUCAUCCGUGAACAAACCUUUGCGGCAUAAGGGAGAAAUACAAGCCGUGAUCAGGCUUGGACCCUGACCUCGGCUUUGCCACGAUCCUCAAGGUGACCCUGUUUUCCAUCCCCAUCGCCUUGACUCUGCCUCUUCUAACUUGUGUUCCCUUGGGGAAGCCCAAGCCCCUCUCUGGGCCUCAGUUUCCACGUUUAUUGGAGGAAACCAUUUCUGAUGUGCCCCUGACUCUGCCCAUCCGAUUCUAAAAGCUUGUCGAGCCCUUCAUGGGGGCCCAGCCCUUUCUGGGAAUGGAGUCAGGCUCAGCCUGUCUGCUGGCCGUGAACUCUACGCCUGCCCCACGCUCUCCCCGUAAACCAGAAAGGGAAGAAUGACCUGUCUCAAACUGGUCCUAGGGCUCCCUUGUCACCCCUCCGUGCCCCUUGUCCCCACACCUAGGCCCUGAGUCCCCAGCCCCACCACGAGGGAUGUCUCCUCCACCUCCUCCCCCCAGCUAGUCCUGGGGUGGAGACGACACGAGGCGGGCAGCCGGGAGAUCACGACAGGUAGGGCUGGAUGGUAGCGAGGGCUCCACAGAGACCACGCUCAGCAGAAUGGCAUGUCUCAUCGUGGGCACGCCUGCCAGGUGGUGGGAGGACCAUUUCUUUUCUUUUUUUAUCCCCAUCCAAAGUGGCUGGGAGGGGGGGGGGCCCUGGAGGAGAGACUCCUGAGAUGAGACACAAGGAUCUAUGACCUAGGCUCAGACCGGGGCGGGGCACCAGCACCCAGGGCACCUCCCAUCCCCCCUGCAGACCCAGGCCCUAGUCCUUUCCUUCAGGCCUCUCAUAAUAUUAACCUUGUUGGCUUGAGUGCCCCACCCCAUUUAACAGAUGAGGCAGCUGAGGCUCAAAAUGGAGAAAUGACUAGCAGAUAGGGGGGCAUGGGGUCAGGCCUCCUGGGAGUCCUCUGUCCUCUUCAGGCAUGGAUAAGUGUUUGGAAAGCUCACCCAUCGGAAGGAAAUGAUCUCCCCUCCUUUUAGUAGAGGGAUGGGAAAGAGGAGGCAGUAGGGAAGAGCAAAGAGGCUAGCCCAACUAUGGAGAGUUUCCAGAAUUCACUGUGCUUCCUCUGCACUCCAGACCUCUGCCUGGGCUGCUCCCGCUUCCUAGAACUCUUUCCUCCACCUGACUACAUCCUACUGACCCUUCAAGUCAUGGUCAGACGUUGCCUCCUCCAGGAAGCCCUCCUGGCUUUUCCACUGGACAGGGAAGCCAGGUCACGAUGUUACGGAGAGCCACUUCCGGGUGAGACCAGAAGGGGCAAGCAUCGUGCUCAAGGUAACACAGCCAAGCGGCGGCUCCUCGCCAGGGCUCUGUGCCAUCCAUUGCCCCGCUCCCCCCACCUGGCAGCCUCCCGGCUCUGGCCAAAUAACCCGCCCCAGGCCCCGGGGACGCAGCGCCAGAGGGAGGUAACAAUAAAAGCUUAUCAAACAGCAUGUAGGAGGCAGCCACAGAUUUCAGAGGCUAAGUAAUCUGUGUCUAAUGUUCACUUAGCAGAGCGUGAGCCUCUGAAAUGUCAGCGCUCGCGGUCUGACCCUGCAGUGGCCGGAGCUUUUGAAGCUGAGGGAAACGGAGUCAUCCUGCGUUCCUAGAGCUUUCUACCCGGGCCGCGGUGCAGGUGGGGGAGUUUUCAGGUGCCAGACCAUCCUGGUGGCCCCAGCUGGCUGUACCCAGGGAAGUGAAGCAUCUUUCUCGGUCCUGGAGAGGCUGUUACAGAUGGGGAGACAGAGGAGGCUGGCCGCGGGAACCCACCGCUGAGUGAUUUCAGAGCCUGGUUUUUACCUGUGAGCCUCUGCUGCUGCCUAGUGCCCUGGUGCCCCUCCCCCAAGGGGCAUAGGAGAGGGGUCCUGCACUCCCAGCAUCCCCCUCCCCCCAUGACCAUGGAAAGGAUGCCCCGCAUGGGCCACCUUGGGCCCAGCCUCACCUCUGAGCCCACAUGCAGGAGGCCCGCCUCUGUCAUCUCCCUGUUCUAUCUCAGACAGAUCCUCAGCCCUCCUGGACCUCAGUUUCCCCAUCUGUCAAGGAGCUGGAAAGCUCUCCAAGAUUCCAUGGUUCUACAGUAUCUUACGAAUGAUGAAUAAGGCAGUUGCUUCACAGCCUC